rnacentral:rRNA from 1 species
GACGAACCACACAAACGUUAUUCGGAAUUACUGGGCUUAAAGGGUGCGUAGGCUGCGCAGAAAGUUGGGUGUGAAAUGCCUCGGCUCAACCGAGGAACUGCGCCCAAAACUACUGUGCUUGAGGGAGAUAGAGGUGAGCGGAACUUAGGGUGGAGCGGUGAAAUGCGUUGAUAUCCUAAGGAACACCCGUGGCGAAAAGCGGCUCACUGGAUCUCUUCUGACGCUGAGGCACGAAAGCUAGGGUAGCGAAACGGG